rnacentral:rRNA from 1 species
UACAGAGGGGGCAAGCGUUGUUCGGAAUUACUGGGCGUAAAGGGCGCGUAGGCGGCUUUGCAAGUGACGGGUGAAAUCCCUCGGCUUAACCGAGGAACUGCCUGUCAAACUGCAUGGCUUGAGACCGGGAGAGGUGAGUGGAAUUCCCAGUGUAGCGGUGAAAUGCGUAGAUAUUGGGAGGAACACCAGUGGCGAAGGCGGCUCACUGGACCGGUACUGACGCUGAUGCGCGAAAGCGUGGGGAGCAAACAGG